rnacentral:rRNA from 1 species
GACGAACGCUGGCGGCGUGCUUAACACAUGCAAGUCGACCGGAGUGGUGAACGGAUGAGUAACUCGUGUGUGACCUGCCCUGCACUUCGGGAUAAGCCUGGGAAACUGGGUCUAAUACCGGCUAGUGUGGGAUGGGCCCGGGGCCUAUCGGCUUGUUGGUGGGGUAAUGGCCUACCACGGCGGCGACGGGUAGCCGGCCUGAGAGGUUGGACGGACUCAUUGGGACUGAGGGACGGCCCAGACGGCAACGGGGGGCAGCGGGGGGGAAGAUUGCGCAAUGAGGGGAAGAGUGAUGCAGCGACGCCGGGGGGGGGAUGAAGGCCUUCGGGGUGUGAACUCCUUUCACCAACUACGCGUUAGAUGGAGAAGAAGCACCGGCUAACUACGUGCCAGCAGCCGCGGUAAUAC